AAUUAAAAUGUAAGUUUAAUAGUGGAAUUUAAAAAAAUCACAGCAACUGUAUAUUAAAAUAUCGGUGGAAAAAUAAAUUAACUACCUAAGAUCCAUUGCAAAAGGAAUUUUCAGUAACAUUUCCCCAGGCACGUCUUCUAAGUGGAAGGGUUAUUUUUGGCGGUCGUUUACCUCCCUCUGGAACUUCUCUCCUUGCUCCUAGAGUUCUCUUUCCCAGGCCCUCCUCCACCUCAGUGCCCCAGACCUCCUGCUUCCACACCACCACACCCAGGCCUGCCUUCUCCAAAUGCCCACACGUCAGCAUCACCCCUAGAACUCCAGUCACAGAUGUCAGAAGAAAUAGUCAACAAUUUCAGAUCUCCUUUUGUUAUAAGUGAGUGGAUUCAUCCAGCUUUAAACACAUGACAACUGUGUAGUUUUCAAGGAGGGCCCCCUGGUACUAGGGUUUGGUCACAUUCUGCUGAGGAGUCCCAAGAUGAAGUAGACAUAGCACAUUCUUGUACUCAGAGUGUCAGAAGGUGGGUGGCUCCCCUGGAGUAGAGCCCAUUUUCUACGCCACAUUUCUGUCCUCUGGAAAACAGAAGUUGAAGCAUUUAGAAUGCUGCCCACGCUUAUUCUUUAGGCACAAAAAGCCGUGGGCUCGAUUCUUUGAUAUCAUUCUCUAAGUAACGGUUAGGUUGAAUAAGGCAGCAUUUGCCUUUUUUUUAAAAUACAGGGGAGCCACUCUCUCGGCAUCUGAGAAAACUGAAAGUGGCCGCUUGCCAGAGAUCUGUGCAGCUUACUGGCUUGGUGGGUGGAAGAAAAUAGCACAGACCAACGUGAGGGAAACAUCUACUCCUCCUUCCAGCAUGUGCCCGUCAUGCCUCCCCGGAAACGCUGGACAGAUGGCGAAGAUCACCUUGGUGGCACUUCCUUCUGAAAUCAGAGUCUGUGUGCAGGAAGCCUCCAGUGAGAGGGGGUCUCAGCAGAGUCAUGCACCUCGACAUUUAGAAGUCAGAGUGCUGUGGCUGAGUUUUGCAUCUGUGUGUGGCAAUUUCUGGCGCAUGUCAAGAUGUACCAGCCCUGUGCACAGAUGAAGAAGGGAGAUGAAAUACUAGCCAAACAAAGAUGAUGAGCUUUAUGAGAUUAUAAACGGCAAGGGGGUAAAACAGCACCAGAAUGGGAAUCUAACAUCUGAAAGUCAUUUUCCAAAACUUCAUUCAGCACGGGAACAAUGCCGCAUUCAGGCGUAAUGAGCUGAGAAGGCGUGGUGCGCCAGGUCAAACUGGCGGUCUCUGAGCUCCUCUCAACGGAGUGCUUUGCCAAGGUAGGCCAUGAAACAGUCUCAUUUCAAAGGAGGGCUGGGAUUAGGCAGGGAAAGGUGGAAAAAGCCAAAAAAUGGAAGGCUGGGCCCAUAAGACUGGUGGGUUUCAGCGACAUACAGAGAGCUAUGCUAAAAACUGCCCCAGACACCUGGUUCCUGGGAUUUCUGCAGCUCCCCAUGAAAAAGCUGAACAGUUCACAGUGAUUCCUGGCAGAGAGCUGGCCAGGCUCCAGUAGGGCCAGGUUGUGAGGGUGGCAGUGACUUAGUGAGUCUGCGCCUCAUCCCUCCUGCCUCUGUUCUGUCCACCGCCCAGCAUACACCUGCUCCCCACUGGCCAACAAGCUUCCCAGCGCUCCUCUGCAUUCCACCUUCUCUUUCAUUAUUUAUUCAGCAGUGUUGGAAACAUAGUUCUGUAACCUUCCUCACACAAGCUACUAUUUUCUGAAUCUAUAUAGUUUUGUGCAGAACCCAAUAAUAGCUACAACACCCAUAUAAAUUUAAAGGAAUUGUAAGUUACAGGCAAAACAAGUGUAGAGAGACCAAAUGGGAUUGUACCAUGCAGCGUCAUUCUGGUGACAUUCUCAUUAGCGUUUGAUGACAAGAUUAUUAAUAUUCUUAGUGGAGUAGCAAGGGAAGCACUAAGAUCUCAGAGGUUAGCAACUCUGUAAGGAUAUGUAAGAGUAUAGCAUGGAGGACUGAGUUUGGAGCAAAGAGAACUAGCUCUUUGCACAUAGCGACUUGUUUCUGACCUGAAAUACAGCCAUUUUUGCCUAUGGUUGGAAUGUUUGUGUCUCCCCCAAAUUCGUAUGUUGAAAUCCUAACCCCUAAAGAUGAUGAGAUUAGGAGGUGGGGCCUUUGGGAGGUGCUUAAAUCGUAAGGGUGGAGCUCUGAUGAAUGGGAUUAGUGCCUUACAAAAGAGACCCCACAGAGCUCCCUAGCCUCUUCUGCCACAGUGAGGAUGCAAGGAGAAGUCUGCACCCAAAAGAGGGUCCUCAUCCUGAUCUCAGACUUCCAGCCUCCAGAACUGUGAGAAAUAAAUUUCUGUUGUUUAUAAGCCA
rnacentral:lncRNA from 1 species